rnacentral:tRNA from 1 species
CGGCGAUUCAAGCGUGCCCUUCACACGGGUGGGGUCGCAGGUUCAAUCCCUGCAUCGCCCACCA